GGCUCCAUAGUGUAGUGGAUAGUAUGUCUGCUUUACAUGCAGAAGGUCCUGAGUUUGAGCCUCAGGUGGAGCCA
rnacentral:tRNA from 1 species